UAUUGCACAAUGGGGGAAACCCUGAUGCAGCAACGCCGCGUGAGUGAAGAAGUAUUUCGGUGUGUAAAGCUCUAUCAGCAGGGAAGAANAAAGACGGUACCUGACUAAGAAGCUCCGGCUAACUACGUGCCAGCAGCCGCGGUAAUACGUAGGGAGCAAGCGUUAUCCGGAAUUAUUGGGUGUAAAGGGUGCGUAGACGGGACAGCAAGUUAGUUGUGAAGGCCCUCGGCUUAACUGAGGAACUGCAACUAAAACUAUUGUUCUUGAGUGCAGGAGAGGAAAGCGGAAUUCCUAGUGUAGCGGUGAAAUGCGUAGAUAUUAGGAGGAACACCAGUGGCGAAGGCGGCUUUCUGGACUGUAACUGACGUUGAGGCACGAAAGUGUGGGGAGCAAACAGG
rnacentral:rRNA from 1 species